UACGUAGGGAGCAAGCGUUGUCCGGAAUCAUUGGGCGUAAAGCGCGCGUAGGCGGCCCGGUAAGUCCGCUGUAAAAGUCAAAGGCUCAACCUUUGAAUGCCGGUGGAUACUGUCGGGCUAGAGUGCGGAAGAGGCGAGUGGAAUUCCUGGUGUAGCGGUGAAAUGCGCAGAUAUCAGGAGGAACACCAAUUGCGAAGGCAGCUCGCUGGGACGUUACUGACGCUGAGACGCGAAAGCGUGGGGAGCAAACAGG
rnacentral:rRNA from 1 species